UGGGGAAUAUUGGACAAUGGGCGAAAGCCUGAUCCAGCCAUGCCGCGUGUGUGAAGAAGGCCUUUUGGUUGUAAAGCACUUUAAGCGAGGAGGAGGCUACUUGGAUUAAUACUCAAGGAUAGUGGACGUUACUCGCAGAAUAAGCACCGGCUAACUCUGUGCCAGCAGCCGCGGUAAUACAGAGGGCGCGAGCGUUAAUCGGAUUUACUGGGCGUAAAGCGUGCGUAGGCGGCUUUUUAAGUCGGAUGUGAAAUCCCUGAGCUUAACUUAGGAAUUGCAUUCGAUACUGGGAAGCUAGAGUAUGAGAGAGGAUGGUAGAAUUCCAGGUGUAGCGGUGAAAUGCGUAGAGAUCUGGAGGAAUACCGAUGGCGAAGGCAGCCAUCUGGCCUAAUACUGACGCUGAGGUACGAAAGCAUGGGGAGCAAACAGG
rnacentral:rRNA from 1 species